rnacentral:lncRNA from 1 species
UGUCAAUAAGCUGUUGUCGCCACACCUAGAACGGAGAUCCUUGAAAUUAACAAACUCAAAGCUGUAGAGGGGAAUCGAAUCAAUCUCCUAUCUCAGUGACCACCGUCUGCCUUCUAAUGUACAUAGUCCACUCAUUGCUACAUGACAUAUAGUAGUCCCUCUGCACAUCAACAUGAAAAUCUGACAAGGCAUAGACCUUCCCUUCAACUAGCCUGUGCUCAAACCGCUCUAUAUCGCCGGGUUCUACACGCGCCUGCAUAGUUUUACCCUACGAGUGGAAUACAACUAGAAGAAUCAGUGCAUUGAGAAAAAGGAUGGUAAUUAAACAUUAGUAGCCAGCAAGCAAUGUGAUUCAGCUGUUUGGUGUUUGACUUAAGGUACGGAAUGCAGCACCUGAUCGUCGAUCAGAAGGCAGUCAAGGCCGAACAAAGUGUCAUUUUUUGGAUUGAAGGACUCCCACAGCCGCGAGAUGCGCACCCGAACUUUACAUUUGUCCAUUCCAUAUUUUAACUGAGACAGUGGGGUGAACACGUCCUCAGCUGAACCCAUUUUGGCCUGGAAGGCUUGAAGCUGCAAAAUAGCAUAGAAAAAAAAGGAAAUAGUGAUUAAUAUUGUACUGUUGUACUCCCUCCGUUCCAAAAUAAGUGUCACUGAUUUAGUACAAAGUGUACUAAAUCAACAACACUUAUUUUGGGAAGGAGGGAGUACAUUUUAAGCUUAGGAGUCCAGUAAUAAAUUUUACCAGUACUCUAAAAGGCUGAAAUUAACCUUCCCAGCAUAAUUUUUUGCUUACUAAACAGGAGUAUUAACUGGUUUAAAUUCUGAGUUGUGUGUGUAUGUUGUGAUGAAAAGGCAUCAGGUGUGUUGCCUGUAAAGCUAUUUUGGGAUGAAAUUUCUUGCAUUUUUCGUGUUGGUCAGAAUACUAGAUGUGAGUUUCAAUAAUGCUGCUACUUUGUGGUAUACAUGGAAAAUUAUAGUAACACGAUUUGCCAUCAAAAGGUGUGACGUCAGCAACCAGAAUAUGAUGCCCCCCAAAAAAGGAUUUUAACAAAUANNNNNNNNNNNNNNNNNNNNNNNNNNNNNNNNNNNNNNNNNNNNNNNNNNNNNNNNNNNNNNNNNNNNNNNNNNNNNNNNNNNNNNNNNNNNNNNNNNNNNNNNNNNNNNNNNNNNNNNNNNNNNNNNNNNNNNNNNNNNNNNNNNNNNNNNNNNNNNNNNNNNNNNNNNNNNNNNNNNNNNNNNNNNNNNNNNNNNNNNNNNNNNNNNNNNNNNNNNNNNNNNNNNNNNNNNNNNNNNNNNNNNNNNNNNNCAACCACUAGGAGCACAGAUCGACUUGACCACGAGUUGUGAUGGAAAACAAAAAAAAAUCCGAAUAAAUGCCGAGAUUAUUCAAGAACUGAGGCCAAGUCAGAUCGCAAACUCAACAGCGCAGUAGAACCUCGCAGCUAUUCAAGGAGGCUACUACAGGAGUGAGGAUCGUUGGAGAAGAAUCGCUCGUGUAGACAUACCGGAGAAAAUCGAUCGCGACAACACAAGAAUCGAGACGAAAACUGUAAUGCGAGUGGUACACAAAAAGGAGGCUGCUCUGCUCUUUUCCCCCGCUUUGACUUGGGAGGAUGGAUGAGGAAGACCUGGGUUUACCUCCGGAACCGAAGUCGCAGAUGCAACUGGUUUUCUCCUCCCCGUCGCCGAGAAGAACGAAGCUUGCUGGAGAAGGAGAAAGGAGGAGGAAGAGGGGUCAGGUCUCGGGCUUGGACGGAGUGGCGGAAGCCUGGGCCGGUGUCCUUGUCGCAAAAGCCUACGAGUUUCUGUCAGGCCCAUUGAUGGGAUAAGACUGCUCAGUCCCCGUCUAUCUUGUCUCAAAAAAAAAAGUCCCCGUCUAUCAUUGUCUAAAAAAAAAGUCCCCGUCUAUCUAAUUUUUUCACAAACCCCUCAAAAAAAAACUAAAUUUCUCACAAACCCCUAAAAAAAUCUAAUUUCUCACAAUACUGUAACAUAUAUUUUUCACCCCCAAAAUAUAGACCACAGGACAAGUAGCCUAUACAACUUUUGCUAGGGCUCCUUUGGUUCCAAGAAAACGUGAAGAAAAGGGUAGGAAUAAGCAACUUUUAUAUGGUUGUAUUAUUAAUGCCCUCGGUUCAAAGGAAUGGGGGCAAAGAAAACAAAACUAUUGAUCUCAAUUUCAAAGGAAAAACAUAGAAAUUCUAAUACCCACUUGAAUUUCCUUUUCAGAUUCAUAUGCGCGAAGAACGAGAUUAAGAUCCCGGCCUCGCCUCGUCCUCGCAAAACCACACCACAUGCACCACGUUUAGUAGGUUGCAUUAGGUUCAGCCAGGUUCGCGUUGUGUAAAUUUUUUUGUUUGGUUGCCUUGUCUACAUCUAUUUUUUGGCUCGUAUGAUGUUAAAACAUAGCUCAGGCAGAGCCGCUAAAAAAUGUCGAAUCAACUAUUUCUAGCAAGCCAGACUCGAGCAAUGCAGGAGAGCACAAGCAGUGGGUCUCACGAUGCAACAUGGUGCAGGACUGGGACAUAGGGUCAGUGGGGUUUGCGCAUGUUCCUGUUUUGCUCAACUCCAUAAUCUCUUCCGCAUAAUUCUUUCUAUUCCACACAACAACACUUUGGCUUGGGAUAAGCUCUACAUGAAAAAGAUGCAAAUCGAUGUUAUGGUUCUAUUCACGUGAUCGGUUCAUAGUUUCAUUAACUAUAAAUGUUCAAUUUCAUGUUCAUGUUCGAAGUUAUUUUGGAUAAAAUUUGUCAAAUCGUCACACGGAUCAUUUGAAUUUUCUUUGACCAAUAAUUUCAUCUUCCUGUUUCACACGGCAUUCGUGUUGUACAUUUUUUUGUUUCAAUGGUCGUAGACAUGUAGAUCUUUAUCGCUCUAGUGCCCUAAUGGAAUGUACAAAUGCAUAUGUGCGAUUUGUUUUACUCACAUUUCUUAACCUCCUUCACCUAGUCCCCUCUAAUCUACGGUGGUCGGUACGAGAUAAAUUCUACACCAAAAAGAUGCACAUCACUGUUUAUGAAUACCUUGAAACUUCAGUGUAGCCCGAACUUUGUCCAAACCUGAGAAGUAUAAAAUGGAAAUUCUUUUCUAUUCUCAUGUUCAAUAGCAGCAGUUCAGAACAUGACCUCAAGCAGCUAGGUGUGGUCAAAACUUCGCUGGCUUUGCCCUGUCCACCUACGUAAGCUUCAUUAUAGUUCACUUCAUUUCAAAUUUACUCUAUUGGCGAUGUGUCCAGUGAAAACUUGAUUUGGGUGAAAACCUGAAAACUUGCCUCUGGUAACCAUCGAUUCUACAACGAACAACAUCUGGUCACCAAAAUGGGCCAAGCCCAUUCUCCAUCAACCAUGAUAACAAGGGAAACAAUGUUCAAAAGGAUUAAACGGGUUCUGGUAUGUUACCCAGCACUAACACUAGAUCCAGUGACUCACAGCAGUAGUUGCAGUUGUUCCCAGGUAGGAGAAGAACAGAAAGCUCCAUUGGCUGAUCCUUUCGGACGCAUUACCCUAGAUACACUAUAACCCUAGAUCUAGGUUGAUCAAGUCGUCGUCGCCUCGCAGCCGCUUGUUAGGCUUCUGGCUUCCCUCAGGGUCAGCUUUCUCCUCCUUGCAUUGACUAGCGGCUGCAGCAGGGGCUGGGACGCUAGCAUCGUCCAUGAUCGACCUCACCGAGAAGCUCCCGUCCAUGUACUUGUCGAAAACCUCGAAGGUGUGCGUCGAGCCAAUAAGAUCCUCGAUUUCGUCUGGCAGGCUGUACCACUCAUCAUCGUCCUCGAUCUUAUUCACGAGCUCCUCCGCGGAGACACCGACCAGCUCCUCCGCCACCUCACAGAAGAUCAUCAGGUUCAUUGCGCCGGUAGCAUCCUGCACCUUCGCCUUCAGCUUGUACCUAGCAUGCCCACAAGGCCAGAACAUAAGUGUGGUAAUCAGUGACUCAUGAAAGAGCAACAAGUAUGCACUGAGAACCGAUGCGCCAAUGGCACCAUAGCAUUGCAGGUCCCUACCACUGAACUGGCAUCAUCGGGCCACAUCGGGCACACCUGUAUUUCCUUGGAGCCCUGGACAUCGACUUUUGGCAGGUGUCGCAUCCAAGAUAGCACCAACCAUUGGUGCAAUCUACAUCUAUCAGGGAGACUCUGCACAAAAACAUGGUAUCCUGCAAGUGGACACAGAUACGUGAGUAAAACGGAUAUAGGCUUUGCGCACAUAAACGAGAAGAGCAGCAAACUUGAUUUACCUCAUCGUACUCUUCUCGAUCGAGGCUUUUUAGCUGUUUGAUUGUUCGCCAACUCUCGGCCAACUUCUGAGCUGGAGUUUUUUCUGGAACAGGGUUUGCCUGCUGAAUGAGCAAACUGCGUGCACAUGGACCAGUUAGCCAUGUACUACUAGCACAGCUCAGAUCAAUCAUCAACGAAGGUAAAAACUUUAUGAAACCCACUCACUUCGCACGGAAUUCUUGCACCUCUGGUAUUUCCAAAUCCAGAUAGUACAUUGAAGAUGUUGUAGAGCAAACUACAACAACCAAAGAUCACAAACAAAUGGCACCAAAGUAUUACAGUACACACUAUUGCGUCGAAUGAUAAGGCAGACUAAAGUUUUAAAAGAAAGAAAGGACUGUAUUUCAACAGUAUCGCAUGGUAGAAACAGGCAAAUGAACCAGUGGAUCAAGGAUUAACCUGAUGAUGAGGAAGUAACAGACAUCCCUGCAAAGACAGCAACAACUGAGGCGUCUUGGCCUUUCUCGAGCAUAUCCUCAGCAAAACCAGAAGCAACAUCUCCAAACAGUGUCACACUCAGUGCCCUUCCUCUGCAAAUGGUAACUCCAGCAGUAAGGAGCUAUCAAGGGACGUCAAUCAUUAGAAAGAAGGAUGUGUAUUCCGUUACCUCAAAUCCCGAAUUCUUGCAUUGCAAAUUUCUAUAACGCGUGAUUUUUUUGAGACUUCCUCUAGCUCCCCAACAUAUACUAUGUGACCCAGAACAUCUGCAUAUGUCAGGAAAGGAAUGAGAUAUACAUGUGGCAGGUCUGAUGCUGAUCAAAUAUUCAGUUCCAACAGAACCUACCAGUCAAUAAGCUGUUGUCAUCGCACCUAUAACGGAGAUCCUUAAAUUUAACAAACUCAAAGCUGUGGAGGGGUAUCGAAUCAAUAUCUCCUUCCAUCUCAGUGACCACCGUCUGCCUUCUAAUGUACAUAGUCCACUCAUUGCUACAGGACAUAUAGUAGUCCCUCUGCGAAUCAACAUGAAAAUCUGACAAGACAUAGACCUUCCCUUCAACUAGCAGAUCUUCAAACCACUCUAUAUCGCCAGGUUCUACACGAGCCUGCAUAGUUUUAC